rnacentral:rRNA from 1 species
CUCCAUUCGGUAGCAAUACUGAUGAAGAGCGAGCGGCGAACGGGUGAGUAGCACGUGAGCAACCUGCCCCGAAGACCGGGACAACACCGGGAAACCGGUGCUAAUACCGGAUAUCCCUAUCGGACCGCAUGAUCUGAUAAGGAAAUGGAUUCCGCUUCGGGAGGGGCUCGCGGCCUAUCAGCUAGUUGGUGAGGUAAUGGCUCACCAAGGCAUCGACGGGUAGCUGGUCUGAGAGGACGAUCAGCCACACUGGGACUGAGACACGGCCCAGACUCCUACGGGAGGCAGCAGUGGGGAAUCUUGCGCAAUGGGCGAAAGCCUGACGCAGCAACGCCGCGUGGAGGACGAAGGCUUUCUGAG